GUCCCCUUCGUCUAGAGGCCCAGGACAUCCGCCCUUUCACGGCGGCAACAGGGGUUCGAAUCCCCUAGGGGACGCCA
rnacentral:tRNA from 1 species